rnacentral:tRNA from 1 species
GGCUCCAUAGCUCAGUUGGUUAGAGCGUAGCACUGUUAUCUCCCGCACCACACCGUAGCCGCCUAACCCCGCCGCUCAGGGCUGCCCAGUCGGGCAGCUGGUGGGCAGAGAGGCCUGCGGAGACAUGCUGAGGUCGGCGGUUCGAGCCCGCCUGGGGUCG